rnacentral:rRNA from 1 species
UGUCCAGACUCCUACGGGAGGCAGCAGUGGGGGAUAUUGCACAAUGGGGGAAACCCUGAUGCAGCGACGCCGCGUGUGGGAAGACGGUCUUCUGGAUUGUAAACCACUGUCCCCAGGGACGAAAAUGACGGUACCUGGGGAGGAAGCUCCGGCUAACUACGUGCCAGCAGCCGCGGUAAUACGUAGGGAGCAAGCGUUGUCCGGAAUUACUGGGUGUAAAGGGAGCGUAGGCGGGGAUGCAAGUUGGGUGUUAAAUCUACCGGCUCAACUGGUAGUCGCACUCAAAACUGCAGCUCUUGAGUGAAGUAGAGGCAGGCGGAAUUCCUAGUGUAGCGGUGAAAUGCGUAGAUAUUAGGAGGAACACCAGUGGCGAAGGCGGCCUGCUGGGCUUUUACUGACGCUGAGGCUCGAAAGUGUGGGGAGCAAACAGGAUUAGAUACCCCAGUA